rnacentral:lncRNA from 1 species
AUGCUGACAACAAACUUGCACAAGAUGCCCAAAAACACACAUCAGAGAGCAUGGAGUCGGUGGAAGAAAGAAAAUGGAGACGCAGUAUGUAUUGCCAAGUCUCUUAUUACGUAUUUUCUUCAAUUACAUUUCCAAUGCUAUCCCAAAAGUCCCCCAUACUCUCCCCCUACUUCCCUACCCACCCACUCCCAUUUUUUUGGCCCUGGCGUUCCCCUGUACUGGGGCAUAUACAGUUUGCGUGUCCAAUGGGCCUCUCUUUCCCGUGAUGGCCGACUAUGCCAUCUUUUCAUACAUAUGCAGCUAGAGUCAAGAGAUCUGGGGUACUGGUUAGUUCAUAAUGUUGUUCCACCUAUAGGGUUGCAGAUCCCUUUAGCUUUUUGGGUACUUUCUCUAGCUCCUCCAUUGGGAGCCCUGUGAUCCAUCCAAUAGCUGACUGUGAGCAUCCACUGACUGUUUGCUAGGCCCCAGCAUAGUCUCAGAAGAGACAGCUAUAUCUGGGUCCUUUCAGCAAAAUCUUGCUAGUGUAUGCAAUGGUGUCAGCGUUUGGAAGCUGAUUAUGGGGUGGAUCCCUAGAUCCCUGGAUAUGGUAGUCUCUAGAUGGUCCAUUGCAUGGGUGUUACUGUGUGCUUGUGGCUCUAAGAAGGGUUAGAGUGAUGCCCAUUGGGCAGCACGCUCACACAGCAUGCUCAGUGGUGGGGCUCUUUCUUCUGUGUUUUUUUAUCCAUCUAUAUUUAGGCUUUAUCUGGGAAUCCUGUGAUGUCCAUUCAAUGCCUAAAUCAUUGUACACGAUAUGCAGUGAUCCUCCUGAAGCACCAGUCUCACUCUGAUGACUGUACCUGGAACAAGCAUUCAGAUCAAACGCACAAAUACUCAGUAGUUGUUAGUUUGCUUGUGUUUUCUACCAAAAGGUGGACACAACUUCCUCUUUGUAUUGUAUUCUCAAUUUCUGCAAUACUCAAAAGAAUGGAAUGCAAGCAAGCCAUGUGCCCUUCUGAGGUGAGGCAACUACAAGGCUGUACAAUUCUUUCACCUAAAACAAGAGGAAAGAGUGAUAAAGGUACUGUGACAAUUCUAACUGGAUAAUGGUUGAUAAUUCUUUUGUCUCAUAGGCCAAUUUAUAGAAACGUUUAAGGCUAUAUUUCCUAUGGAAACAAUGGUGAUAUAUCUAUGUCUUUAAUUGAAAUACAACAACAGAAUUUAAAAAUGCAUUCCGUUAUUGGUCUCAGUCAUAGCCCUGUGUCUACAAUAACUGCUUUCAACUCUAAAGCCUUUAGUUUGGGAGGGGGUGGGUUUUGUGCACCAGGCAGUGACUACAUAGGUUUUUCCCCAAGAGAGUUAGCCCCAUUACACAAUCCACUCCCCAGUGACAAAUUUCUCAAUUCAAAAAGGAAGAUAUACAUUUUACCCACAAAAAUGU